CUUUUGCAGCCAGAGUGGAAACGGAAGAUGGCUUUCAGCAACCACACAAACAGCAGUUCAGCUGUGCCGGAGUUACUCCACAUGCUUGUGGAACAAAAGAAGACCCCACGCUUCAAUAAUUACAGCAACCCGGCCUUGGAGAUGCAAGAGGAGAUAAUGGCCUCUUUUUACAUCCUCAUCAUCGUUGGCUUUUUCGGCUUUCUGCUGUUUGUCAUGAUGCUCAGCAACAUCGUUUCCAGCAAGCCUGAAAAUUACAUUGACUAUCUCUAUUCUGGGAAGAUUAACCCUCAGAGAAGCAAGGUGGAGCUUCCAGGAACAGAGAGCAAAGACACUUUUGUUAUCAUUAACAGCACUGCCUUACUGGAGCUACAAAGGCAGGAUGGUAAAUACAACACUGGGCCUGAGGCAACAAGUGCAGAUGCAGUUCUGAGGAAUGUAUAAAAAUGGUUUCUUUUUUAUUAUUAUUGUUCUGUUGUGCAUAAGGAGCUCAAACAGCAAUAACUUUUUUUUCAUUCAUGAAAGCAAGAAAGGAGGAGCUGUGCCAGGAAAGAAGCAGACUGGUCUCAUGCAAGCUUCCCACAUGAAUGAUGUGAAGGUAACAAGUGCAACGUGCAACCUGUGUUAUUUCAGCCCUAGGCCUUUGGAGAAGAGGCUGGGAAUCACGUCCUUACUGGUCUAUCUCCUUCAGGGCUGCGUGUAUCAUGCAUUUUUAUAACCUGCCUCUCGGGAGAAUGGAAGCUCUUCCUUUUCAUGCUGUUGCUUCAAGCAGGGCCAGUACGCUUCCAGCUAGGGCAUCGUUGUGGUGCCUGUUUGCUGUUAUUAAUUUUUAUUUGUUUAUUUAUGUGGUGGAGGGGUUGGAGCUACACGUGAGCCCACUGGGUGUGUGCUCUGCAAGCAGGAGGAGCAGCAGCUGCCUCCUCAUCCACACUCCUCACCAUGCUGGGCACCAGAGGUGGUGACAGGCUGACCCAUGGAGGACCCGUGAGACUUGUACUUGUGUGCUCGCUUGGCAGGCUUGGUCUGCAGCGGGUUUUGGACAGUGGUCAUGCAUUUCUCAGCAGCUCUCUUCCUGCACGUUGGACUUGUACAAAAGCUCAGGAUGACAAUGAGGUGGUCCCAGACAUCCUGAUGUCUCUCCAGGGUCCAUCACAGGGCCUACCUGGCCAUCAUCAGGGCCUUCCUGGCCUCAGCAAACACAAGAAGGAGUGGUUUACCCACCACACAGCUCAGGGUUGUUCAUCCCAUGUCCUGCAGAGCCCUGGCACACAGGGGUUCAGGACAGUAGCUAUGGGGAGACAAACAGCAGUGAGCUUCAGCUUUCUAUUAUCAGUGCAUGCAUUGGAAAAAUCUCUGGAGUCUGGAGGUCAAAACGAUUGGAAACUGCUGGUGCAGGCUGAAGCAAGGGAAGCACCAGGCUAGAGGGUGAACUCCAAAGCCCUGGGAAGUACUAUUUGCCUCCCUGCAAACUCAGGGUGAGAUCAAAAGAGUGAUCCUCUCCCUGUUCUCUGUGAAGGAAAGCUCUCCAGGAGGGGUGUUUUACCAGGUUCCUUCCAUCUGGAUGUCUGUGGGACCAUGAGCUCUAAGUGCCACCUGAGUGCAUCUCAACCUCUAUGCUGAGGGAGCUUCUGCAUCACCACUGACCUGGGAAAUACUCAUGAGGAAGGCAGUCUUCCCAAAUGUUUUUGGGUCGUGGUGGGUCAAUAGGGAUGAGGUGCUGUCCCCUUUUUCUGGCUGAGCAGGGGCAGCAUAUUUCCUUCUUUCUGGUGGUCCUGGAGGGUUUGUAAGUGCUACAGUGUCCCGCCUUGCAGAGCUCCUCUGUUUUUCAUCCAGGUGGUCAAGUGCCAGUGCACUUUGAAACACUUUUCCUUUUCUUUUCCCUUCCUCACUUCAAGGAGAUGCAAAUGUGUGUACAUACAAAUUCCACAAUGAAAUAUAAGAGCUUUUUCUCCUAAAGGUGCCCCAUUCAUACACAUUCCAGGUAAAGGUGGCUGUGUAUUUCAGCUUAGCAGUGUCUCUGAUACUACCAACAGGAAAGCUGCUAAAGUCAACUUUUGCAGAGAAUCCCUAAUGCUGGAAAACAAAUUUCAUCAGUUUUCACAAGGUGCAUCACAGAUCUUUGUGGGAAACCUCUGGCAGUUGUAUUAAUUCUGUUCUGAGGAGUUUGGCACUGUUACUUGAGAUAUGAGCUUAAUUUAUUUUCUGAAGUUUCCACUUUUUUCUGUGUUUCCACCCUUAGGACAUCUUUGAUUUUGGCAAGUGCUUCUCUUGUUGGUUCCAUUGUGGAUUGAGAGCUAUAAUUACACACCUUUGGAAAUUCUCUUUUGAUACCAGACUUUCGAGUGAGACUUUAGCUAGUGUUCAGGACUUCAUCAGACAGCUAGGAGGAAAAAUGGAUUAUUUAAAUUGGGCAUGGUAUUUGUCAGAAAAAAUAAUCUUAUUUUUCCUCAUUCCACACAAGACUGGAAAAAAAGCCACCACAGAUUUCCUGUAGAAUAAUAUUCUCAAAUAUUGUUUUUUGGGAAAAAAAAUGUACUUACAUUUUAUAUAGAUAAAUAUAAAAUGUUAGAUUAACUUAAUUUAAGCUGCUGUACUUAAUACAGCACAUCAGCAGAAACAUCCACUGUUUGCCUAACAUCAUGCCUACUGUCUAUGUGUAUUUCAUUAUGUUCCAUAUUUCAUUAUGUUUUCAUUUUGUAUUUUAAAAUAAAGGGUUUGUGAUGAUUUUUAGCUUGUGUAAACAUGGUGAGUGUAACCUAAUCACAUAAUUACUACUGAAAUGGGUAAUUGGUAUGUACUGAUAAUUGGUAUCCUAAUUGCCUCAUUAAUAGGGACUUUGUUCAGGGGUAAUUGGUAAAUUUGCCAUUUAGCUAAGUGGUACACUGGAAUUCCAGAAAGCACCAAAAAAGCUUGUUAAGGGGGGGGUCAGGCCUCACCGUCCUUCCUGAGCAUCCCUGGGGAGUGCUCCACAUGGCUCUGAGCCCACCACCCAUGCCCAUAGCAGCCGGGGGACAGUCACCCCCAUCUGGUGCAGUGUGCUUGGGGUGUCAGGUGCAACGGCUGUGCACCAGGAGGACGGUGGUCCCAGCCACAACCUUCAGGGCACUGCCUUGCUGCCAGAGGCAGAGCUCGCAGGCAGGGCAGCAGGGCAAGAGGAGAAGGCUCUGGUUCAAUAUUUGAAGGAUGAGGUAACAAUUGGAAGUGUCUUUUCCCAAAUCCUAGAUGCACUUCAAGGCAGGGGCUAUGUCCAUGCAUUUUGCACUGUGUGGCCACGUUAGGGAAUGUCACAAGUCUGAAACUGCAAAAGGAAAAAUAGGUCUCUGACCCAAAGUGCUCACUGUCUGUGUAGACAAUGGCUGGGAGGGAAAAGAGGCAAAAAGUAACAGAGCAGACUAAAUGUAGCAUGGAAUAUAAAAUACGUGUUUUUAUGUCAGCCUACUGCCUUAUGUCUGCUGCCCAAGUUUUGUUUUUUUUAUUAUUUUUUUUUAAUAGUAUUGAGAUGUUGGAACCAUAAACAAUUGUUUCUAAAGCAGGUUAACAGAUGGUUUUCUGCCAUAUACUUGACUGGAGCAGAGGGGAAUCCAAUUCUCAAAUAAAUCCUCUGAAAAGGAAAUGAGAAGAGUUCAUCCCUCUGGUCUCAGUAGGUAUCAGCGACUAGCAUCAUAGUUAGUGUUUUUGUAACCACUUAGGUUCAGACCAAUUUUAUUAGGGGCUGAAGGAGACAGAGCACAGUGAUGUCACCUGACAGGCCAGGAGGGACACUGUCUUCCUGGGACAGCACCAAAAUACAGUGGAACAGACCUCGCCCAUGCCUAAGGCCUCACAAGCUGAAAGGCUGGUUUGAGCCUCCUUCAUCCACCUUGCCAAAAAAAAGGAUAAACAAAACAAGUGGUGCACAACACAAUUGCUCACGACCAGCCAACUAUGUCCAGCCAGUCCCCAAGCACUGGCAACACCCUCCCCCCAGCCAACUCCCCCCAGUUUCAUUGUUCAGCACGAUGCCUGUGGCAUGGGACACCCCUCUGGUCAACCUGGGCCAGCUGUCCUGGCUGUGUCCCCCCCGGCUCCUGGUGCACCCCCAGCCUCCUUGCUGGCAGGGCAGGGUGAGAAGCAGAAAAGUCCUUGACUUAAUGUAAGGUAAUAUAAAUUACUUAAUGUAAGGCUUAAUGUAAAGUAAAACACAGGUGUGUUAUCAGCAUUAUUUUUUCUCUAAAGCAAAAGCAUGGCACCGUAGCAGCUACUAGGAAGGCAAUUAACUCUAUCUCAGUUGAAGACAGGACAAUCUUAUAUCAGAUUUCCAGAGUUCUGAUCUCCACGUGAUGGUGCUAACAUGAUGUGGACCACCACUCAUCUACCUCAGCAAGGAGAGCAUGUAGACAGCUGAGUUAGCCCCUACAUUCCUGCUCACACAUAUUUUGAAUUCACAGUUUCCCACUGCUUUAAGGGAAAGGUGUUAAGAGGAGAAAUGUUCUGGAGAGAACAUGUCCUGUCCUAUGAGAGAAUGACCUGUCCUAUGGGGUAUCUUCAUUUGCUGCCACCUUUCAUUCUCAGCCUUGUAGGUACAGCUAAGUGUGAGCAAUUUACCAGUCUUGCUACUGCCAUGCUUGUUCCUGAGGUAAAAGUCUGUGUGAGCAUCUAAGGGAGGAGAAAGGAGAGGUAAGAAACCAAGCAGGUCAAGGUAGUCUUCACGUGUGUGUUCAAUAAUACAGCAUGAGCAAUUUUUUCCCUCCCACAAUCACUUCCCUUGCUCUAAAGGAGCCGCUCACCUUUGGAUGGUGUUGGUGUCAGGCUCAAUGCAGGUUCCUCAGGGGUUCAUCUGUAGAAAUGGGUGCACAAUGUGGAAAGCUAAAGGUCUCUAAAAAACAGAUUAGUCCUGAAAAUAUAUCACCCUGAAGCAAUGCCCAAGGCAUUGUGAUUUCUUCCCCCUCCAGGGCCUGAAACUGGGCAGGCUGUACAUGAUGGACAUCAUACACAUGACUUCGGUGUUGGGAUCCAGGCUCGCUGAUAAGUUGCAUCCUCCUCAGCCUGAUGGGACCACUGAUUUCCAAGAUUGGGUUAUUUCUGAUCAGCCCCCUGGAAGCCCCAGGGCUGCUGCUGGCUGAGUGUGACAACACAGGUACCACCAGGGCAACCGGGUUCUUUGUGAGCUCGGUGGCUUCCUACCCCUUCCAACUCU
rnacentral:lncRNA from 1 species